rnacentral:rRNA from 1 species
UACGAAGGGUGCAAGCGUUAAUCGGAAUUACUGGGCGUAAAGCGUGCGUAGGCGGUUCGUUAAGUCUGUCGUGAAAGCCCUGGGCUCAACCUGGGAAUGGCGAUGGAUACUGGCGAGCUAGAGUGCGGUAGAGGAUGGCGGAAUUCCCGGUGUAGCGGUGAAAUGCGUAGAGAUCGGGAGGAACAUCCGUGGCGAAGGCGGCCAUCUGGACCAGCACUGACGCUGAGGCACGAAAGCGUGGGGAGCAAACAGGAUUAGAAACCCCCGUAGUCC